GUGGGGAAUAUUGCACAAUGGGCGAAAGCCUGAUGCAGCGACGCCGCGUGAGGGAUGAAGGCCUUCGGGUCGUAAACCUCUUUCGGCAGGGACGAAGCGAUCAGUGACGGUACCUGCAGAAGAAGCCCCGGCUAACUACGUGCCAGCAGCCGCGGUAAGACGUAGGGGGCGAGCGUUGUCCGGAUUUAUUGGGCGUAAAGCGUGCGUAGGCGGCUGCGCAAGUCGGGUGUGAAACCCCGGGGCUCAACCCCGGAACUGCAUCCGAUACUGCGUGGCUAGAGGUAGGUAGGGGAGAUCGGAAUUCCUGGUGUAGCGGUGAAAUGCGCAGAUAUCAGGAGGAACACCGGUGGCGAAGGCGGAUCUCUGGGCCUUACCUGACGCUCAGGCACGAAAGCUAGGGGAGCGAACAGGAUUAGAAACCCGGGUAGUCC
rnacentral:rRNA from 1 species